AUUUUCAUAAAACAAUCCGUGGUGUCCCGCUCGGAGACUGGGUUCCUGGCUCUCCCACUCGCAUUGCUGUAGCAAGAGAUCCAUAGAACAUAUUUUAAAAUGUUACUUGCUAUUUGCUUAAAUGUAGACUUUUCUAGGCUAUUUCUUUUCCUUACUCCAUUACUGAACAACUCCCUUACUUCCUCCUCCCCCCCAGUAUCACUCCCAAGUAAGGGAUUGGUUUUAGUCCCAGAACUGAAGUACCCUGAGCUCCAUUCGAAGCAGUACUCUACAGAGACCCACAUUUUCUUUAUAUUUUGAAUUUAACAAGUUUAACCUGUACAGUGUUGUAUGCUGAAGAUACUGGAAUGCCUGUGUGCUCUUCUACCGGAGAGUGUCUGAUCAGAACUCUUCAGUAUGACCAAAGAAACUCAAGUUAGCAUUGUCCUGCAGGAAGCUGAGGAUCUCUCUCUCUCUAAGUUUUUCUUCUGUAUAAUUUCUUCUGUGUGCUUUGAGUAGAUAUAGUGUGAUCUUUAAAAAGAUCAGGCAAGGCUAGGUGCCGUGGCUCAUGCCUGUAAUCCCAGAACUUUAGGAGGCCAAGGUGGGCAGAUCAUCAGGUCAGGAGGUCGAGAUUGUCCUGGCCAACAUGGUGAAACCCCGUCUCUACUAAAAAAUACAAAAAAAUUAGCCAGGCAUGGUGGUGCACGCCUGUAGUCCCAGCUACUUGGGAGGCUGAGGCAGUGGAACUGGAGGUUGCAGUGAGCCGAAAUUGUGCCACUGCACUCCAGCCUGGCAACAAAGCGAGACUCUGUCUCAAAAAACAAAACAAAACAAAAAACAAGGCAGUUCCUCAGAGAGUGGAUCCAGGGUCAGAACGAAGAACUUUGUACAUGGACACAACAAAAUCUUUAUAAUAUCUGACCUACAGAAUUCCACUAUUGCAAUGGAUCAGUGACUUCUGUGUUUUUUUCCCAUCUUCUAUUUUCCAAAUGAAAAAUUUUACUGGGACUGGGAGGGUUCCAACAUAGCCGAAUAGGAACAGCUCCAGUCUACAGCUACUAGCAUGAGAGAAGCAGAAGACGGGUGACUUCUGCAUUUCCAGCUGAGGUACCGGGUUCAUCUCACUGGGGCUUGUCGGACAGUGGAUGCAGGACAGUGGGUGCAGUGCACUGAGUGUGAGCUGAAGCAGGGCGACGCAACACCUCGCCUGGGAAGCGGGAGGGGUCAGGGAAUUCCCUUCCCUAGCCAAGCAAAGCUGUGACAGAUGGCACCUGGAAAAUCAGGUCACUCCCACCCUAAUACUGCACUGUUCCAACACCCUUAGCAAACGGCACACCAGGAGAUCAUAUCCCGCGCUUGGCUCAGAGGGUCCUACACCCACGGAGACUCACUCAUUGCUAGCACAGCAGUCUGAGAUCAAACUGCAAGGCGGCAGCGAGGCUGGGGGAGGGGCGCCUGCCAUUGCUGAGGCUUGAGCAGGUAAACAAAGCAUCUGGGAAGCACGAACUGGGUGGAGCCCACCACAGCUCAAUGAGGCCUGCCUGCCUCUGUAGACUCCACCUCUGGGGGCAGGACAUAGCCAAACAAAAGGCAGCAGAAACCUCUGCAGACUUAAAUGUCCCUGUCUGACAGCUUUGAAGACAGCAGUGGUUCUCCCAGCACGCAGUUUGAGAUCUGAGAACGGACAGACUGCCUCCUCAAGUGGGUCCCUGACCCCCGAGUAGCCUAACUGGGAGGCACCCCCAAGUAGGGGCAGACUGACACCUCACACAGCCAGGUACCCCUCUAAGACGAAACUUCCAGAGGAACGAUCAAACAGCAACAUUUGCUGUUCAGCAAUAUUUGCUGUUCUGCAGCCUCCACUGCUGAUAACCAGGCAAACGGUCUGGAGUGGACCUCCAGCAAACUCCAACAGACUUGCAGCUGAGGGUCCUGACUGUUAGAAGGAAAACUAAAAAACAGAAAGGACAUCCACACCCAAACCCCAUCUGUACGACACCAUCAUCAAAGACCAAAGGUAGAUAAAACCACAAAGAUGGGGGAAAAACAGCAGAAAAACUGAAAUUCUAAAAAUCAGAGCACCUCUCCUCCUCCAAAGGAAUGCAGCUCCUCACCAGCAAUGGAACAAAGCUGGAUGGAGGAUGACUAUGACGAGUUGAGAGAAGAAGGCUUCAGAUGAUCAAACUUCUCCAAGCUAAAGGAGGAAGUGCAAACCCAUCACAAAGAAGUUAAAAACCUUGAACGAAGAUUCAGACGAAUGGCUAACUAGAAUAACCAAUGUAGAGAAGGCCUUAAAUGACCUGAUGGAGCUGAAAACCAUGGCAUGAGAACUACGUGACAUAUGCAAAAGCUUCAGUAGCCGAUUUGAUCAACUGGAAGAAAGGGUAUCACUGAUGGAAGAUCAAAUGAAUGAAAUGAAGCGAGAAGAGAAGUUUAGAGAAAAAAGAAUAAAAAGAAACAAACAAAGCCUCCAAGAAAUAUGGGACUAUGUGAAAAGACCAAA
rnacentral:lncRNA from 10 species